CUGUCGUUUUUCCAUCCCUUUCUCCUCCCCCACCCCUCCCUCCCUCCCUAUUUCUGUUCCCUUCCGUUUUGCAAAAGAUCUGUCUCCCUGUUUCUAUUAUCUACCUUUAUCCCGCUCUUUAUUUGAUUCCACCGUGAUAAGAGCACAUGCUCUGUAUAACCUUAAUCCUCUUAGAUGUACUGAGACUCCUGUACCCGGAUGCUCGCAUGGCCCAGAGGCUGCGAGUCCCGCUAUCUGCCGACCUGCUCUGCUCUUCCUCUGGCCAUGGUGGAAGGCCAGCGCCUUGUCCACGUUCCCCACCUCUUCACUGACUUCCUAUCUACUUACCCCAGCAGGCCUGGUCAUGGUCACGACCCCAGCGUGGGAAAGUGUGUCAUGUCGGGGACUGGGUGUUUCUCUGUGCCUAGAACCAUCACGGAGCUUCGUUCUGGAGAGCAGUGAGGGCUUGGAGGCAGGUUCCCUUCCGAGUCUCGAUGAAGGCAGUCCUGCUUUGACUAACUGCCCAUGAGCAGAACCUGUGCCCCGUGCCUGGGAGGUGUGUGGCCGGGCAGCGGGGAACACACUGAGAGAAGCCACCACCCUCCACAGCUGCCCGCCUGUCCCUAGGAUUAAACACUGGGCACACGGGGCUCGGAGCUAAGGGCAGUGCGUGUGACCCCAGCAUCAAGUCCUGAGCUGAUAUGCCAGGGGAAAGAUCGUCGGGCCUGGCUUGGGAAUUGUUCUCUUUCACUUUGCAAGCAUUCCUGGAGAAAAGCGAAGGCUGAGAUGCACCGGCAGUGGCUGCUGGCUCGGUCUGGGGCUCAGAUCAGCGCUACCCACUCCCAUGCCCACCCUCGCCCUGCCUGGCCCCCGCCCAAUGCCUGGGGGGGCACCUCUCUUCCAGGGAAGCUCUCCCCAUCUUCCUCUUCACUAAGGGCUGGCUUUACAACUUUUAUUAUAAUGUGCUUUAUGCACAACUGUGAAACUUUACUGCAACAUAUGCCCAUUUUAUAUAUUCAUGCAGAAAGCAUAUUUUAAAAAUCCACAGUCAGAGGCUCAUAAUGCAAUAUUAAACCCACACCAUAUUUCCUCCGUACAUUCAUAAAAAAGCACUCAGUUCUUUGGAAAAUGUUAUUAAGAACUUUGACUCCAGGGUGCAGGAUGCUUCCAGCCUGUGCAGAUGGCGCUGAGCAGAACCCAGGGGAUCCAGCGUGGGCGCGGGCGAGUGGCAAGCAGCCCUGCCCCAAGGAAGGAGCUGGGGCACUGAGAUACGACCGCAGCGUCCAGGGCGACGUUUGUCCACCGGCAGCCAGCUGAAGGGCAGGGCUGAUGGAGGGAGCUGUGCGCUCCUGUGUGGGAAAUGAGCUGUCACAUCAGAAAUUACAUGCGGUUAUUUAUAAUCGACAGGAGAUUUGCAGCCAGACUGCAAGAAAUUGAAACAAUACCUCGAGUAAUUCCAGCCCUUUUCGGAUUAGCAUCUGGUCUCAGGAAAUCCCUGUAAACCAGGUGACUCUGACUAUUACAGACUGUGAAUUCGGUGUCCCAGGUCUAAGCCCCGCAGAUUUGUUUUGAGAUUGAACUUGGCAUGCGGCAUUUCGCCUGUGACUGAGUGACCCUCACAAUCAGGAACCUGGCCCCGCCCACCAGCACCGUGGCUGUUAAGGGCACCUUUGACUUUUAAAUUUUCUUUCCAUUAUCACAGUCUUUGUAUGUGAAAUUAUUAAAAAUAUAUUAAUUAAUACACAGA
rnacentral:lncRNA from 1 species